AGUGAACGCUGGCGGUAGGCCUAACACAUGCAAGUCGAACGGCAGCACAGGAGAGCUUGCUCUCUGGGUGGCGAGUGGCGGACGGGUGAGGAAUACAUCGGAAUCUACCUUUUCGUGGGGGAUAACGUAGGGAAACUUACGCUAAUACCGCAUACGACCUACGGGUGAAAGUGGGGGACCGCAAGGCCUCACGCGAUUAGAUGAGCCGAUGUCCGAUUAGCUAGUUGGCGGGGUAAUGGCCAACCAAGGCGACGAUCGGUAGCUGGUCGGAGAGGAUGAUCAGCCACACUGGAACUGAGACACGGUCUAGACUCCUACGGGAGGCAGCAGUGGGGAAUAGUGGACAAUGGGCGCAAGCCUGAUCCAGCCAUACCGCGUGGGUGAAGAAGGCUUUCGGGUUGUAAAGCCCUUUUGUUGGGAAAGAAAUCCUGUCGAUUAAUACUCGGUGGGGAUGACGGUACCCAAAGAAUAAGCACCGGCUAACUUCGUGCCAGCCGCCGCAGUAAAAC
rnacentral:rRNA from 1 species